AAAGGGAGACCUAAUUCCAGUAGGAGACGAAAAAAAAGUAGUCCCUACCAAGAAUCAAUCCCCAAAGGUCGGAGCGAGGCAAAAUUGGCUUUCAAACUAGGUUCUGGGUUCACACAAGACCUGAAUCAGGAACAAGGGCUAUUAGCUCAGGUGGUUAGAGCGCACCCCUGAUAAGGGUGAGGUCCCUGGUUCGAGUCCAGGAUGGCCCACCUGCACAGGUGGAAGAAAGAAAAGAAGCUCCGAAUCAGCACCUUAUCUUACUUAUAAAGUAAGAGAGAAUGCUGGCUCUGAGUACAGAGUCCAGAGGAACCUUGAAAACUGCAUAGAGCUAGGUGAAAAAGCCAAAAAAGAAGACCGCAAG
rnacentral:tRNA from 1 species